UUUGGCUCUUGGAAUGUUGACUGAUGUUCACAUUGCUGAAUCUGCAAUGACCUCAGUAGAUCCAAGGGCCAAACUCCAAGUGAGCAUACCAGGUCAUGUUGGUAUAACCAGCUUCAUGGGGGGUGGCUUUACUAAGUCCGAAGAUUCUGAUCAGUUCCUCUCUUGCCCAUACAUGGCACCACUGACUCCUGUUAGAGCACACCACUGUGAAUGAUGCAUGAACUGCACUAGGUCCAAAUGGACUAACUAGGCCUGCUGUGCCACUAUGGGAAAGAGCAGACUUUGGUGCCUCUGAAAAGCAGCUGCCUGCAGAAGAUGAACCAGUCUGGGCCUAGAAGAACAUUCUGCAUUGAAGGGCACAGUGAGGAGGUGGUUGUCUACGAGCCAGAAAGAGAGUCCUCGUGAGAAAUUGACCAUGCCAGCACUUUGAUCUCGGACUUUUCGCCUCCAGAACUGGGAGAGAAUAAAUUUCUGUUGUUAACCCAGUCUAUGUGUCCAGUGACCUGGGGCUCCUACUGGGGAGCAGACUCCUGGAGAAGGCACGACGCUGUGUACCAUCACUGUCCUCUCUGACCAGCUAGCAUAAGAACAGAACAGAGUGCCACUGCUCAGCUUCAUGACACCUCAGGAGGAAGCUGGUGCCUUGGAAAGUCAGGCUCACGAUGUGGUCCCAGACGCUCCUCACAGCUGGGUCCAGGAAGACUCUCCCAGGCCGCCCUCCCAGAUACCUGUGUCCUCAAAUCACACAUGAAGACAUUCCCUUGACUCCUCUCUGGGCACCAGGUCUUUUUUUAUUCUUGUUGGGAUGUUAAGUGAGAGUUUGAACUCUAAAUACAAGAAUUUGCCAGAACCGAGUAUGCCUUGGCACUUUCUCUUGGAUCAUUGUCUUCUUGGACUGUACAGGCCAUGGUCUAGGAGCAAUGGGCUGGACAAAGAUGAGGAAGGUUGCUGUGUUCACACAACUCAUGAAAGUCCAAGAAGAGGCACCAUCUAAAUCUUUUGAGAAAAUUUCCAAACUGACAGUAGGAUCUUCAGCGCAGUGAAGGAAUAUUGACAAUUGCCAAAGUGGACAACGCUCCACUGCAGCCCAGCCUAGAACUACAGACUUUCCUGAGGGCCUGCUUGGUGACAAGCCCAUGGGGUGUGUUGAGUGUUGGGGAAUCUGGGAGGAGCAAACUCCUGGCCUUGCUUUGGAGGCUCUCAGUUGGGACCACUGGCCUGUCCCUGCCACAUGUGGGCAGAAGCAGUGAUGAAGCCUGUGGCAGGAGGACCUGGGAGGUCUCUGCUGGGCACCUGCAGAAAAGUCCUGCCGUCAGCAUGGGCUGACUACCUGUGUCCAAUCAUCCCUACUGACUUAAAUCUCCUUCCAGCUCAAAGGUUUAGAAUGAUCUCAUAAUACUCAAUCUUGUAAAAUGGAAUUGUCAUCAGAAACAUGAGGGGGUGGGCCUCGAAUAUCCAGAUUAUUGCUCAGUGGGAAUCACAUUUCCCUCACAAAAGCCCUGUGAGAGAGGCAAUCCUAUCCCCAGUUUAUCAAAGGGGAAAGUAACUCAGAAAGACUAACUGAUGAGCCCCAAAUCACACAGAUUAGAAAUGAGGGAGCUGGAAGCCCCAUGGCUCUGAACCCCAGGUGUCCAUAAUGAGCCCAAGGGAGGCCUGGAAGUCCAGGGAAGGCCAUUCAUGGAGAGGCAGCUUGAGGGCUAGGUCUCCUGUAUGAUUGUACAGGUUGGCCACAUAUGAGGCCCCUCAGUAGAGGGAAUCAUUGGGGGAUGAAAUUCAGCCUGUGUUCUGAUCCCUAAGCCAUGGGCCCUAGCAAAGUACUAGGCCCUCUGGGGAAAGGCCUCUUUGUCUAAUAUGCACCAGAGGGGUAUUGUGGGCUGGUGUUGGCCCUGCUUGUGGAUGCAUAUGUAGUGAGGUUGGAUGUGGGGAGCAACAGCAGACUGCUACCCCCCCAUCCUGUACCACCUGGGUCAUGCAGGGAGAGCUAUGGACUCAUCUUGUGAAUACCUACUUCAUAUUAUAGCUUUUAUUGCUGUGGCUUUCCCUGCUUUGGCCACUUCUUUCUUCAUGGAACACCUAUAUGAAGUCAUCCAGCAGAACAUUUACUCAUAAACUAUUUUUUCCAAGACUAAGGCAGGAGAUGAAAAACAAGGAAGAUGAUACAAUGGAAUACUACUCAGCCAUAAAAAAGACAAAAUUGUGCCAUUUGCGACAACACAGAUGGACCUUGAGAGUAUUACGCUAAGUGAAAUAAGCCGGACAGAGAAAGACAAGUACUGUAUGAUUUCACUCACAUGUAGAAGAUAAAUACAUUAAUAAAGAGAACAGAUUAGUGGUUACCAGAGGAGAAAGAGGUUGGGGGAGGGUAAAAGCGGUAAGAGGGGCACAUAUGUGUGGUGAUGGGUAAAAACUAGACUAUUGGUGGUGAACACAAUGCAGUCUAGACAGAAACUGAUAUAUAAUAAUGUGCACCUGAAAUUUAUACAAUGUUACAAGCCAAUUUGACCUCAAUAAAAUAAUAAUAAAGAACAGAAGAUGAGUGACAACAGUAAAGCAUAUUAUCAAUUUAAACAUUCAAAAACUGUUGCAAGCAAAAUUCAGUUAGCCCGUCUCCAAAUAUCGUGGCAGAAUGCAGUUCUACGAAAGAACAACCAACGAACAUUUCUUGAGCAUUGUGGGCCCAGUAUCAAGCCUGUACUUUAACUGAAGAGAGAAUGCUUGGUGUUAGAAGCACUGGAAUUCAUCAACAUCAUAAAAUCUUUUUCACCAGUUUGAGGUCCAAAUGCAGUUUAAUCCCCUUUCUUUUUCAAGCCCCUCCCCACCUACCCUUGAAUGGUAAAUCCAGUGUCCUCUUCUUUG
ensembl:lncRNA